rnacentral:lncRNA from 1 species
AUUUCUUUUCUCUGCGUGGAACACACUGUUGAAAUUAAAUGUCAAUUGACAGUAUGAUCCAAUUUACAAAGAUUUAUACUUGAUUUCCAAAUAAAUUGUAUUUGCAUUAAGCAACAUGACCAAGAGAUGCCUUGGCUUCCUCUCUGGCCUGCUCCCGCCCUCCCACAGUUGGUGUGCCUGCUACUUUGUACCCUGGAGGUACAGGGCUGCACAGGGGACAAAGGAAGACAGGACACUCUGCCCCUCCGUGUCUCAAAGUUCUCUCAGGUGGUGUGAUUUGAGAAGUACCGGGAUUUAGGGUAGCCUCUGUGACUCUAGUUCCUCCCCUACUGAUGCCUCAUUCAUUCCUUGAAGCUUUAAUCAAUCCUCUUAUAAAAAAAAAAAAAAAAAAAAAAGAAAGAAAGAAAGAAAAGAAAAGAGCCAGGCACGGUGAUUCACAUCUGUGAAUCAGCACUUUGGGAGGCUGAGGUGGGUGGAUCAUGAGAUCAAGAGAUCAAGACCAUCCCGGCCAACAUGGUGAAACCAUGUCUCUACUAAAAAAUACAAAAAUCACCGCUUGUGGUGGUGCACCCUUGUAGUCCCACCUACUCAGGAGGCUGAGGCAGGAGAAUUGCUUGAACUUGGAAGGCAGAGGAGGUUGCAGUGAGCCAAGAUUGUGCCACUGCACUCCAGCCUGGCUACAGAGUGAGACUCUAUCUCAAAAAAAAACAAAACAAAACAAACAAACAAAGGAAAAAAUAUUAACAUAAAAAAGGAAAAAAGUAAUUAACAUAAACAUUUGGAAUAUAUGUGGACUUUGGUGUUACUGACAAAUAUGGUUUGUGUUUCUGAUUCACCACUUGAAGCAGAGACUUUGGGUGAGUUGCCUAAUCGCUUUGGAUGAAAAUAAAGACUCAGGCUGAGACAGGAUCAACUGGUGGUUCUCACCAGGCUCCUGAUAAAUGGCUGUCAUUCGCUAGAUAUAAAAGUAGAGAAGUUUAUCAGGCUCUUUUUUCUGCCAUUCUAGAAUCACAUACAGUCCAGUGGGAGUGGAGGAUGAGGAGGCAGGCAUUUAUUUGCUAAAGGAGGGAUUGGGAUGAGGAGCAGAGAGCGUGAAAGAAGGAAGGAGGGGAAGUUGAUACAAGAUGCCUCUGGGGCUUGACACUUGCACCUUCCGAGGAGCUUCUUGAGAUGUGCUGGAGGACAUGGGUGUGCAUGGCCCUGUAGGUGUGAACUUUCCUACACUGCCUGGCAGGUUUCCUUAGGCAUCCAUAGUGAACCUUAUGGCAGGAAGCCA